rnacentral:miRNA from 2 species
ACAGUGUAAAUCGGCAUAGCGC